AUCAAUAAGCGGAGGAAAAGAAACUAACAAGGAUUGCCUUAGUAACUGCGAGUGAACCGGCACCAGCCCAGACUGAUAAUCGCUUCGGCGACUUGUACAGUGUCGACCUGUCCCUUACACCGCGACUGAGACGCAACUGUGGCUGAAAAGCCCGGCCGGAGAGGGUGAAAGCCCCGUCCCGUCUCGGUCAAGUGAGAGGGCAGAGUCUAAGAGUCGGACAGCUUGGGAAUGCUGUCCUAAGUAGGAGGUAGACUUCUUCUAAGGCUAAAUAUCCACAAGAGACCGAUAGCGGACAAGUACUGUGAAGGAAAGAUGAAAAGAACUUUGAAAAAAGGGUUAAAAUACUUGAAAUCGCCGAGGAGGAAGCAGUGAUCACGCCAGUCCAGUUUCUCAAAAGUCAGGCACGCCUGGCUGGGAAGGAACUGGUAACCCCAGGAGUGGCUAUGGACCAAGCAUAGGUGUCGUUGACACUUGUGGCCUGCGUCCUACAGCUGCUUGUGGACUUGGUGUGCCCACUGGCCCGUCUUGAAACACGGACCAAGGAGUCUAACAUGUAUGCAAGUAGUCGGGUGUAAAACCCCACUGCGCAACGAAAGUGAGCCUUGUGAAGUUUGCAGCAAGGGCCGUGUCAACGAGCUCAGCAUAUAUGUUGGGACCCGAAAGAUGGUGAACUAUGCUUGGGAAAGGCGAAGCCAGGGGAAACUCUGGUGGAGGCUUGUAGAGAUUCUGACGUGCAAAUCGUUCUUCUAACCUGAGUAUAGGGGCGAAAGACUAAUCGAACCAUCUAGUAGCUGGUUCCCUCCGAAAUUUCCCUCAGGAUAGCUGGAACAGAGUAGUUUUAUCGGGUAAAGAUAAUGAUUAGAGGAUCGGGGGCUGCUAUAGCCUCCACCUAUUCUCAAACUUUAAAUUGGUAAGAUCGGGGAGUUGCUUAAUUGAACUCCUUGCCGAAUACCUGUUCCAAGUGGGCCAUUUUUGGUAAGCAGAACUGGCGACGAGGGUUCAACCUACGGCAGGGUUGAGGCGACAAAUUGGCUGCUCAUCGGAUGAAAAGGUGUUAGUUCAUUUAAACAGUAGGACGGUGGCCAUGGAAGUCGGAACCCGCUAAGGAGUGUGUAACAACUCACCUACCGAAUGGACUAGUCCUGAAAAUGGAUGUCGCUAAGCAGUCAGCCGAUACCUUGCUGUCUGAGCUUGUGCUGUUCAGACAGGUAGGAGGGCGUGAAGGUCGCGCCGAAGCGUGGGCGAGAGCCUGCGUGGAGCAGCCUUUAGUGCAGAUCUUGGUGGUAGUAGCAACUAUUCAAAUGGGAACUUUGAAGACUGAAGUGGAGAAGGGUUUCAUGAGAACAACAUUUGGUCAUGAGUAACUCGGUCCUAAGAUCAGGGGGAGUCCCGCGACGACACUGUCCAGAUCGAAAGGGAAUGCGGUUAAGACUCCGCAAGCAGGUGGUGGGUACUGUGUGGCAACACAACUGAACCCGGAGACGUCGGAGCGAGGUCCCAGGGAGAGUUCUCUUUUCUGUUUAACAAGCCGCUGCCCUGGAGGUCUUUACGACGAGAGAGGGCUUCUGGCUUGGAAGAGCAGCACACCCUCUGUGCUGUCUGGUGCACCUCCUUCGGCCCUUGAAAACCCGGGGGAAACCUUAUCGCUCGCCUGGCCGUACCCAUAACCGC
rnacentral:rRNA from 1 species